UCUUCGCUGGUCAGGAGAAGCCGAUUUCUGGGAUAAUCCUCGUGCGGUGUUCGCCUGACGUCCCCUGCAGGUCCUCAGGAUACGUGCGAGGCGUCCACAAGGGGCAAAGAAAGCCUCGGCCUCGUCGGGAGAUAGAAGACCGAACAACAGGCGCGAUGUGUGAUAGUCCAGAAGUGUAACGAUCUGACGUGUGAACAAGACCACUACCACCUCAUUACCAACAAUCUAACCUGUCACUGCUUGCUGCGAGGAAAGGUUCUCAGACUGGAAGCUGCCGAGAACAACGGUAGGAAAGCCGACAGACGAGGCCGUGGAAGGGAGAGCAGCGGACGAGCAGCUGUGCGCUCGUGGUUCCUGGCUUGUGGUUCCUCGGCAUUUUCUUACAGAAAAAACGAGCCGUAUUGAUGUGCAGGCUGGACCAUUAAGACUCAACAGUCGUGGCGUGAAAGGACAAUUGUAAAGACUCCGGGAGAGGACGAGAGUGUGAGGUGGUCAUAACAUGCAGAUUUGGAACUGGCUGCCUGCCAGCUGAUUCUAGUCUCCAACAGCUGUCUCAGUCAAUCGAACCAGCUCUUUUGACUAAACUUCACCUAACUGGACUUUGUGACAGCCAACUGGAACUUUGUGGAAGACAUCCAUCUCCUCCCACACCUUAUCUGGCUGCCAUAUAACAGGUAAAAAACACCCAUCAAUUUGGGAGUCCCAAACUAUAUAAACUAAUAGUUGACCAGUAGUGUCAACUUCAGUGUUCUGAAUGUGUUUGGCACAAAACAAUAAAAUGCAGUACUUUCUUGGUUCUCCUCAGAUAUAGUGCUUUCAUAGCACCACACAGUCUGACUCUGCUAAACUAGACGUUUUGAUGUUGUUACUCUUGCAAGGAAGAAAGUACUGCUAAUUAAUUAUAUACACACUAGUGUAGGAGAGUUAGAGACAUCAUCUUCACUCAGCAAGAUUUGCUAGUGUAGUUUGUAAGACUCCCACAUUGAGAAGUGUUCAUUUUACCUGCACCACAGCAAGAAGAGGCACAGGUAUGGGAGGAGAGUCUUCUUGCAGAAAGAAAGUGGAUGGCGGUGAAUGGAGAAGGAUACUGUAAUCCUCCUUAAGUGAGAUAUUGCACAGGAGAUUGGCAAGUGCUAGUACAGUAAAACCUCCCUAAACUGAAAUUGAAGCCGAAUAUUGGAUAACUCGAACACCGUUAUCAACCUCCUCAACCAGUCUGCCACCUCCACUCCAUCCCCAAUCACACCAGAGCAACCAGCCAACAUCUUUGAUUUAGACUCCGAGUGACAAGCAGAAGUACACUAGUAGUAUAGUGCAUAAUGUUGUUUGUUAUGUUAGCUCUCUCAUGUGACCAGUAUGUUGUGUACAGUUAAGUGUGUAGUUGUGUAAUGUUAAAUGAACUCUUGAGUGACCAGCUAGUGUGUUGUGCACAUUUAAUAAAGAAAUGUUGUAAAUAUCAAUCUUUUGGCUUAUGUUGUAAUAAUGUGCUAAUAGUAAAUAACAAUAAACGUACUAGUAAAUAACAAUAAACGUACAUGUUUACACAUAACAUAGAAACCAGCAGAAAACUGAACAUUGAAUAAACCGUCAGCCACCUCACCCCACAUAUAGUUGAGUUUAUGGAGGUUUUAUUGUACUAUCAAUAAAUCACUAAACAAAGAUG